CUUGACCACUUUUUUAUGUGUGUGGCAUCACUAGAUGCUUACACGACUUUCAUAACAUCCCUCCACCCUCUCAUUUAUUAAAGAGACAUGUUGCCUUUAAUCUUUUCAUGUUCAAGGUUUUCCAAGUACAACAUUUUCAUCUUCGAGAUGGCGAGAGAAAGCUUUAGAUAAGAACUUAUAAAUUAUGAUGAGAAAAAUUGAGUACAACAUUAUGAGUACCCGUAAGAGCUGAGGCAGCAGCAGCCAUUUGUGUAGUAGGGUGACUUGCAAUGAAAUAGAAAAUUCAACAAUCUCCAUCGGGGACAACCUCUGAUCGUAAUUUUGGAUCAAGUGAACCAAAUUUUCUCAUAUACUCCCUGGCCUCUUAGAAAUGUCUCAUCAAUAGAUUGUAAUUUCUUGAUUUAAAGAUGUUUACAUCCUCAAAAUAAUGUCUAGAGAAGGGCAAGAUUUAAUGCAGUUGAAUGUACAUGUAUAUAGAAUUGUUGAUGUGUUUUUCUUGUUCAAUUACUUCGUAGAUAUGAAAUUGCAUUAGUAAGUCUGCUUGUA